AGCAGCCGCGGUAAUUCCAGCUCCAAUAGCGUAUAUUAAAGUUGUUGCAGUUAAAAAGCUCGUAGUUGAACUUCGGGAUCAAUUGAUAUGGUCAUGCCUUGGUAUGUACUGUUCAUAUUGGUUCUCACCUUCUAAUGAACCAUAAUGUCAUUUAUUUGAUGUUAUGGGGAAUUAGGACUGUUACCUUGAAAAAAUUAGAGUGUUAAAGCAGGCUCACGCUUGAAUACAUUAGCAUGGAAUAAUGAAAUAGGACAUCGCAUUCUAUUUUGUUGGUUUCUAGGAUCGAUGUAAUGAUUAAUAGGGAUAGUUGGGGGGCAUUAGUAUUCAAUUGUCAGAGGUGAAAUUCUUGGAUUUAUUGAAGACUAACUACUGCGAAAAGCAUUUGCCAAGGAUGUUUCCAUUAAUCAAGAACGAAAGUUAGGGGAUCGAAGACGAUCAGAUACCGUCGUAGUCUUAACCAU
rnacentral:rRNA from 1 species